GCGGGGUAGAGCAGCCCGGUAGCUCGUCAGGCUCAUAACCUGAAGGUCACAGGUUCAAAUCCUGUCCCCGCAACCA
rnacentral:tRNA from 1 species